GCCCGGUUAGCUCAGCCGGUAGAGCGUUGGACUUUUAAUCCAUCGGUCAAGGGUUC
rnacentral:tRNA from 1 species